rnacentral:piRNA from 1 species
UAAGAUAGAAAGGAUGAACUUUGUGAAU